UAAUUUUUUCCCUAGUGUUCUUGAACUUCAACAGGUCCUACUGCAACAAUUAGCUGGUAUGCUUCUCUUGCUGCUUUUUAAUAAUGUGCUAGCAUUCCAGGAGUUUCACUCAACAGACAGACUCUUAGGAAAAAAAGUCCACCACAUUUUCACAAAAGGUUUCUGCCUUUCUUCUGAAGCUGUGAAGACCUCUUCUGUGCUGCUUUAUGAAAAAGGAAGCACCAGGAACCACAGAAGACACCCCCAGUUUGAAUGGAUAUACUGGUGUGAAGGAAGCACCAUCAUACCCAGAUUCCACUAAAGGCCACCAUGGUCGUCGUCAGCAUUAUGUUAUGGUUUCAAGUAACAUGGAAUGGAAGAAACACUUGAUAUAAUGCAUUUAUUCCUAUAACAACCUACUCUGACAAGACUUCAUUAUACUUCAGGCUAUCAACUGGAGCAUCUGUUCACAUAUCCCUUAAACUGUGAAGUGGGCAAUGUAUCAGCACAAAGUGCGUGCUAAAACAUCAGAGCGAUACUAGGAUCAUCCUUUCUCAAGUGAAAAUGAAUACUUUUAGCCAAACUUUUGCAUAUGUCCUUUCCAAAAAACAAAACAAAAAAAAGGGAGUAUAGGGAGUAUAUACCCCACACAUUACCAGAAUAUAUUGGCUGCUACCUGCAAAAAAGGAGCAUAUAAGUAAAAACAUUAGAAGAGACUACACAGAAUAUGGUUUCCCCAUGGAAAUAUUUCUGCAGGACAAGCAGCCUAUGGGCAAAGUCGGUUGAAGCUAUUCCAGCACCAGGUAAAAAAUUUCAAGCUGAAGGCAUCCAUAAAGCCACUCAUUCUUACUUUUUUUGCACACAUGUUACAGCUACUUCAAGCAGAUCUCAAAAUCUGGAAGACUAUGGGCUUUGAUUGAAACAAAUGCUAUUUCCUUACUAGCUGUGCUAAUUCAGCAAAAUGGUAAAGCUGGGCUGAAUCAUCAUGCAACUCUGUGAGAAGGUUUAAAAUACUAGCUGCAAAAUGAAAACACAUUUUAUAUUUAUUCAUAAAGACAAGAGACUAAAAAUCUGAAUCUUUCGUAUGUAUGCUGAACUUUACAAUAGAUUACAGAGCAAUAAUAAUAAUAUUAAAAAUUUUAAAAUAAACCCCAAACCUACUAUGAGGUACAGUCACAACCAUUUGGAAUAGAAUUGGUUAUCCUUUAUGUCACAUUAUUAUAAUGUGCAGAAAACACACGUUUCCUGAUAGAGUCAUCAGUUAUGUUUAUGUUCCAGUACAAGACACAUGCACAGCAUGGUUCAUUAAAAAGUAGCUUGUAAGAGAAAUAGGCACACCGUUUGCAUCAGAAUUCUAGCGGCAGAGGACCCUAAAAAUAUCUACAAUUGCACUUCCAGGUUCAUGUUCAGUUUUCAAUCUCCUAUAAACCAAAACACCUGAAUAAUAACAUGAAGUUGGCCACUAUUCUGAAACCCAUUGACCACCUUUUCUCACAAGAGAGCAAAUGUGGUUGAAGCUACACAACGACAUUCAAGUGUUGUCCCAAAACAGAUGACUACAUGCAACCAGCAAGCUCCAGAGAAGUUCUGCAGCUUUCAAAGCAUGCAAAAAACUGAUAAACACCCUCAGCCUUCCAAAUGUCAGAGACCAUCCAGGCAUAACUCCUGAGAAAAGAUAUCCUUGUUGAAGAUACUGCUCCAGAAAACAAUUCAGAGGAAUUGAACUGUCUUCUACCUGAAAUUGAUCCACAGAAUUCCUUCUUCACUAACAGCACAAAGAGAUAAGCCUUCCUUGACUUUUCUUCCUGGAAACUAUAUUUUGUCUGCAUAGGCUCUGCUUCAGUAAGGAAAUAUGCCUAGAAAAAUCAAGAUAAGCAUCUUCCAUUGCUGCAAAUUGUUGGUCCAAAAGUUGUGACUGACCAGAAGGCAGUACAGUUACACGCCAGCAUUUCAAGGGUUGUGCUUGCAUGCACAGCUGUUGAGCAGGAUGGAAACAAUGAGGCUGUAUACAUGUGGUCACAAUUGAUCCCAAACUCCUUUGUCUGCUAUUUCCUGUCUGCUAUAUGUCUCACUGAAUACUCAAAAUCAAGAAUCAAAACAGUUCAACAGAGGAGGAAGAGAGAAAUAGUACCCAUAAUUUUUAAAGGAGGACUCAUUACUUCAGUAAGCCUAAGGACAAGAAGCUUAAGGACAUCCAUGGAUUAUAUUUCUUGCAACACAGAGUGGGAUUGAGUGCAAGUUUGCUGAUGACAACGAGGGUGUGGUCUGGUUGAAAUACUGGAGGGAAGGGAUGCUGUCCAGGUGGAACUUGACUGGCAGAAGUUGGCCCAUGUGAACUUCAUGAAGUUGAACAAGGCAAAGUGCAAGGUGCUGCAUCUUGGUCAGAGAAAUUCCAAGCUCAAAUAUGGUCUGGGUAGAAAAUGGAUUGUGAGAAGCCCAGAGAAGAUGGACUUGUUGGUUGAUGAGAGGCUCAAUAUGAGCUGGCAGUGAGUUUUCAGCCCAGAAAGCCAACCAUGUCCUGGGCUGCAUCAAAAGUAGCAUGGCGAGCAGGAUGAGGGAGGUGUUCUUCUCCCUCUUCUCUUCUCUCCUGAGACUGCACCUGGAGUGCUGCAUCUGGCUCUAGGUUGCCCAGCGUAAGAAGGGUGUGAACCUGCUGAAGCACAAUCAGAGGAGGACCAUGAAUGGUGAUCAGAGGGCUGGAACUCUUCAUCUGUGAGGAGAGGCUGAAGGAGUUGGGGUCGUUCAGCCUGGAGAAGAGCAGAUUCCAAGGAGACCUUAUAGCACCCUUCCACUACCUUAAGGGGACCUAGAAUGCUGGAGGGACUUGUAAAAAGGACAUAUAGUGAUAAGACAAAGGGCAAUGUUUUUAAACUAAAAGAGUGUAGGUUUAGACAGAAAUUAGGAAGAAAUACUUUUCUGUGAGGGUACUGGAAUAAAUUUCCUAGAAAAGCUGUGAAUGCCCCAUUCUUGAAAGUGUUCAAGGCCAGGUUGGAUGGGGAUUGAGACACCUGGUCUAGUGGAAACUCUCCCUGCCCAUGGCAGAGGUGUUGGAAGGAUGUGAUCUUUAAGGUCCCUUCCAAGCCAAAGAGUUCUAUGAUUCUGUGACCAAAGACAUUGCAUGUCCAAAUUCUAAUGGCUGCAAAAAGCCUGAAAAACUAAAUCCAUCUCUGAAAUUCCACUUGUAUUGUGUGUAGGUGGCAAGACUUUGAGCAACAUGAGGGCUACAGGGAUGGCUGCUUUGGCGGGAGAUCAGAAUGAGUCUUGUCCCAGACAGCUGGUUUCAGCCUUCUCCACAAUGGAUCCACAACAGGACAAAGUGGAGGUUGAUGACCAUUUGUGCAUUUCCUCUGGAAGAGUGUAUUUAAAGAGAUAGGAGAAAGGAGAAAGUGUGAGAAACAAUCCUUCAAGCAACAACAUCUGACAAGGAGAGUGAGGAUGUGCUCUAGGUGACAUACCAGACAUUCCUUUGUAACCAUUGCUGAGCAAAUUAUUUCCCUACAGCCCAUGUACUUGACCUCAUUGGAAUAAAUAUCCAUCUUGCAGCCCUUGAAAGACUGACCUCUGGAAUGUUUUGGUUUAUUUCCUUUUAAGAUUAAGAUAUAAAAGAAUGUAUAUUUUGUGAAUAUAUUUUCAGAUUCCCAGACCUACUAUUUAUUAGUCGUAAUGCAUCACAAUGGUCAAAGUUGCUUUCUAAUGCAAUAUUCAUGACGGUUUUGAGUUAAAUUAUUGUAUUUCCUGGAGUUCUGAAUGCCACAGAUAUAUAGCACAAGUUUAGGAAGAUUUACUUGCUAUCAAAUAUCAUACUCUAAUUCAAAAAUUUAUAUAUUAGGAGAUUAGAGGAUUGAACUCAAAUCAAAAGGAAGAGAUAGCACUACUGUUAUAUGUCUUUUAUGAAAAAUUACCUUUAGAUUUUUCACACUCAUUUGUCUAGUUAAAUAACAAAUAAUUUCUGUACAGGGAUGUACAAACGUGAACAGGUAUAGAUACAUAAGAUAAAUGCUUAAGUACUUUCGUGUAUUACAAGCAUACACUUGGGUCUAGCCCUUGAGACAGCAUGCUGAACAUCUGGAUUUCAGAUUACAGCAAACACUUUUGAUUAUUUGCAUGUACAAAGCUAUAUUUGGCAGUACAUUUUAACUUCUUGUAGUUAAGUGAGGCUCAGGUGAGAGAUUACUCUGAAUGCUAAGAUACCAUUGAAGAAUGUUAGUUCUCUGGCAAUAAAGAGAUUGACUCUUGAUUUGCAGUGCCGUGUCACUCUUGUCACUUCUUAGCGAAUGGAGCAUACUGGGAAGCUCAAGACUGUUCCUGAGUCAGACUGGUUCAGCCAGCUUGACCCACCUCUAUACAUUCCUGUCAUUAAAAAACACUCUAAUUCUAUCUGGUUCAAACCAGCAGAACCUAUUCAAACUCAGAAGAUUGCUUUAUUGGUAUACAGGUGUCUUCUCUCCCUUUAAGUCUGCCGAAUGUUUUCACCCAAGAAACUUUACCAAUAGCUACCCAUUUGAUCUUAUCAAAAACUGAUGCACUUUUUGAAGAAAAAGAAUUUUAGAAUCUUUGCCAACCUUCUACUGCUAUUUCACCACUACAUUGGAAGUAUUGGAAGGCAACAAAACUGUGUAGAAAAUGUUAACUCUUUAGCAAUUGGGUAACACUUAUCAAUUUAAAUCCAUGCCACCAGGAAAAAAAAACCAAAAACAAAAACAACAAAAAAAACCCCACCACACUUGCUAAGAACUCAAUAUAUCAAACAAGAAUGUGCUUUAAAGGGUAUGAUUGCAUAUCACUUUAUCACAAAUGGAAAAAAAAAAGGAACUGGAUUUCCAUUUUUCAAAGUUUUGGUUGUCAAUAGCACAACACUAUUUCCGCAGAAAGAAAAAUAUGGACACCUGUUUUUAUUGUCACAUGAAUAAAUCCUGCCAAAGAUUGA